GAAAUGUAUAAUUUUGUGAAAAUUGUGUGAUUUGGCGCCCUGUAGAUGCAGCAACAUGUGACAGAGACAUCAUUGACCGUAUUAUAAGACACUGUACCAUCAAAAAGUUUCAUAAUGUUGCUCCCGAUCAGCAGUCAGCAGUCAGACCUCCCGCCAUGAAAAGAGCUCCAGACUUUCCCGUCUCGACCGGUUCCAGCUGAAUUCCUUCAGUAUUCCGACUGAAUAAAACAUUCGGGCGCUGAGAGGUGGAGUGGCAGCCGUCAGAAAAUUCACCCACAGUCUACUGCUAAUGCUGCUGCUCUGCAUUAACAAUACCCGGGCCGCCACAGUUUAGAUACUAUCAGUUCACGUCAGACACACCUGAACUGAGAUAAAUGUUGAGCUCAGACCAUCUGUACGUCUGACAGAUCAGCGGGGGGAAAAUAAAGCAUGAAAGAGCGAGCCAGCAGAGAACAAUGGAUGAGUCUCCAAACACCG